CACGUAGUUAGCCGGCGCUUCUUCUGCAGGUACCGUCACUUUCGCUUCUUCCCUACUGAAAGAGGUUUAUAACCCGAAGGCCGUCAUCCCUCACGCGGCGUCGCUGCAUCAGGCUUUCGCCCAUUGUGCAAUAUUCCCCACUGCUGCCUCCCGUAGGAGUCUGGGCCGUGUCUCAGUCCCAGUGUGGCCGGUCACCCUCUCAGGCCGGCUACCCGUCGUCGCCUUGGUGAGCCAUUACCUCACCAACAAGCUGAUAGGCCGCGAGUCCAUCCCUGACCAAAAUUCUUUCCACCAAAACCAUGCGGUCUACGGUGCAUAUCCAGUAUUAGACCCAGUUUCCCAGGCUUAUCCCAGAGUCAGGGGCAGGUUACUCACGUGUUACUCACCCGUUCGCCACUAAUCAUUCUGUGCAAGCACAAAAGUCAUCGUUCGACUUGCAUGUGUUAAGCACGCCGCCAGCGUUCAUCCUGAGCCAGGAUCAAACUCU
rnacentral:rRNA from 1 species